GAAACGGCUGCUAGUUGCAUCCUCAUCGAAAGAAUCUGGCUAGACUAAAUAAUUCAGAUGGAUUGAAAUUUUUUGUCGGUAACGAGUUACACACAUCUGUAAUGCAGAACAACCUGGUCCACACAUGGGGUCUGACUUGAAUAUUUCAGGAGAUGACUAGAUGUAAAUUUGACUUUCAGAUAAUACAUCUGUCAAUUGCGCAGAAUCAUAUAGAGCAGAUGGGCAUCAUUGACACGUAGUGCAUGACACAUUGCGCGAUUAAGAUGCUCUUAGGCCAGCUAAGUAACAUAAGACAACUUUUGUAUGAAGAUCGGUUGUUCGGUUUCACUCUGACAGUUUAGAAGCUUUUGUUUGGCGUUUCUCUCGGCCGGAUAAUAGAGAAAAAGAGACUUACGCAGGGUAUGUUUUCUCUCUCUAACAAUAAUUAAAUUUUGUACUAAGAAAACUCGUUAGAUGUUCUUACUGCUUGAUCUCACAUCAUAUUUACGUGCUAAGAAAUGAGUUGUAACUGAAACAAUAAUGUUAAUUUAUGUAAUUAUAUACUGUGUUGGAUAUUAGUUUUUUAUAAAAUUAAUUCCGUGUUCAAUUGGUUUUUCUUUUUGUGUGUCAAGAAUUUUUUUACAAUCUGUAACAUGAGUAAUUUUUUUGACAUACAUAAAUAUAUAUAUUUUUGUAUACGUGGAAUAUAUUACAAGAUCCAUCAUAAAACUGAAACAGCAUCAAGGCUCUUUGAAGUCAUAAUAUCCAGCUUCACCUUCAAAUGUCGACGUUCUACCAUGAUUGUGCAAUAUAUUUCAAGGCCCAUGAUAAAACUGAAAGAGCAUCAAGGGUUUUACAGGUCAUGGUUGCCGGGUUUUGCUGGCGUUGUGGUCCAUGCAUACCAAUUCUUUGAAUCAGUGCCACCGUGCAGUGAUGUAAGAAAAAGGUGUGUCGUUUGUCGACUGUGGGCAAUGGAGUGAUGUAGAUGUACUGUAGAGUACAUAUUCAAGGGAACAGUGAGGUGACUUUAGAUAGCUGUAAUGAGCUGAUGGAGCCUUUGACCUGAAGUUAUAUUUGUAUAGAUUACAUGAUUUGUUGAUGAGGAUAAGAAAGAGGAGCUGAUGGCAAACCAACCGAGGAAGGUCACCGAAGAUUGAGGUUGGGCGCGAUGCCACAUCAGAAGUUAUUUAGGCUAUGGGUGAGUUCGGGGCCAUGGAGUGAGCCGAUAGGAGGGUCGAGUAUGGUGCAUACAUGUCAACGUUGGUAGUCAGAACUUGAUGCUGAGUGUGGAUGGGAAUGAUGGGGUGAGGAUGAGCGUGUUUAGUCCAGCAAUUUGUCAUUGCCAAAUGGUUCAAUCCCGGUGAUGUCAUUGCUGGAUAUGCAAGGUCUCACUGGGCAAGGUAUUCGAAGUUCUUAAGUGCUUAGGAACCUCGCUGUGCUUUCGUAUUGACGUGAUUAGCAAGUGUAUUUACCGAAGCAUAGAUGUAAUGCGGGUUAUGUGUAGCACCGAAUCUGAGGUGGCUCCAAUCCAGUCGGUUCUGGCAUUGGAGAGUUAAGAGUGAAUCAGACUUAAUCAGAUGGCAUCAACACUGUGUUAAUCAUUGGAAGGUUUGCCGAGCGUUUGGGAAGAGAAGCAUGGUGCUAAUACAUACUUUUGGUUCUUAACCCAGAUGAUCUAAUUUAAAAUUGUUGGCGUUUGUUAUAACCAUUCUUGAUGAGCUGCACAACGCUUCAUGUAUUGCACUACUAAUGUCGUUUAUUGGUGGUCAAACUCCUGUUCCACUCCUAUAUAGAUGCUAUGUAAAUAAUUUGUUUUGUUGACUAAAAUCUGAAUAUAAGUGAAUCUAUCUUAAAUUAGUACAAUGAUUAUAAUUUGUCUUACGUUGACACGAUGAUUAUAAUUUUGAAGUGUGGGUGUGACAAGGUUGAGGGAUUGUGAGUCGGAUGUGCCAUUAAUGGCAGCAUGCUUGGAUUGGGGAGUGGAGAUAGUAAGGAAAAAGUAGUAAUCAUGAUAUAUGUUUGACAUGAUUAGUGUAUUAUGCACCGUUGCAACGCACGGACAAGAGCACGUGAAAGUAGAUGUUUUGCUGAAAUGCAUGGUUGGUGGAGAAACAUAUUUAGAGGAAAGCGAAAGAUUGACAAGAACUAUUUGUCACAACAUAGUGCUAAGUAUGUGAUGUACACAUUGCAUAUAAUUAUAUUUUGAUAUAUGUUCCCAUAGAUAAGUUUGCUGUUCCAUAGCAAUGGAAGGGCAUUUAGCCAGAUUUAGCUUUCUUGGAUCAGGAACAGAUCAAGAAGGUUACAUGGUCGGGGUUUUUUGUACCGUUCUAGACAACAAAACAAUUGAUAAGGUGAUGGAUUGAGAGGAUGAAUGAUGUAUAGACAGAGAAGGUGAUGUAUGAUAAUUUCAGAGGAAAAGAGCAGUUAUAGGAGUGUGUGGUGUUUGUAAGAGAGAGAAGAUGCCUGCAUUUGUGUUGUGGUUAAACAUUGCGUGUAAUGGGGGGCGGACAAAUUUAUUUGUUGGCCCGUGGCAACGCACGGGCAGUCUAUUAGUUUUUAUAUCAUGUCCACCAUGAAUAUGAUUUAGGAUGCGGUACCACGUUGGGCCGUUGGGCGCAUCAGACACGGCAACGGCCCGAUCCGGACAUGGCUACUCCAUUGCCGGUCGUCCGUCUGGGGUCAUGAGCUGGAGUUGGUAUAUGCAUUUCUUAUCUUUAUGUGUUCCAUCUAGGCAUAUUUCUGCCCAUAAAUGUAUUUAUGAGCUGGCUCCAUUUUUUACUGCUUUUCUGUACCCUUUAAUCCCCUAAAAAGGGCUAUACAUGCAUUUUAAAGAGUUCACAUUUUCUAUAAACAUUAGCAUUGUCUUACCCCCACUGCUCUCUGGCGUGCAGCGACGAAGAUUUCAUCCUCAACCUCCCUCAUGGCCCCAGGUUGGGGACAUGGCGUGAAGAUAUGGUUUUGUGUGAUCUAUGGUCCUGAGUCAUCUGUUGGAUGGGUGAUAAUGGAAAUUUUCUUGAGGACAAACACGUGCAUAAGUCUUGUGAGUGUUAAACCUGUUUUAUGAGAGUUAAAGCUAUUUUUUGAGAGUUAAACCUGUGCAUACGAAUGGAAUUUUUUUAGAACUGGUCAAACUAUUUUUUUUUGUGUGAGAGUUAAAGCUGUUUUCUUGAGGACAAACCCGUGAAUAAGUCUCAUCUGUAUAGAUUUUAAAUGGGUAUUUGCGCACAUCUCAUUGUAGAUAACAAGGCAUCAUUUUUUUAUUGUAGACAACAAGUCACCAUUCUUUUUUUAAAGGGUGUUAAAUUUGUUACCAUAUGUGCUUCCCCACAACUAAACCAACUAAAUCAUGUAUUUUCUUUUCAACGUGUACAUGGAUUUAGCGCGCCUCUGCGCCAUUUGGCACAACGGGUCCACUAGUAUCCAGAAGAUCAUAUCUUGCCUUUCUAUAUGAGCUAUCUGUUUGUAUUGUAGAAGCUGAGUAAUAUUUUUUUCAUCCCAGGGGUUUGUUGUAGAUGGAUGCUGUGGCACCUUCUGAGAAAUGCACCUUGAGAAGAUGGCGCAAGGAGGAGCUUGACGACAAACCGAUCACUGUAUUGUCAGACUGGAGACCAAGUUACAGUAACUUGCAGGUUCAAUGUAAUCAUUCCAUUCCUCAUCAAUUCAGCGAGGUACAGAGAAUAGUGCGGUGCUAUGGAGGAACAUCUUACAGUACAGUGUGAAGACCUACUGGGCAGGUUGACUGAAGUUUACACACAGAGCUAAGAUAAGAAACAUUGGGCUCUUCGUGAAGGCAGGAACAAAACAAUUUUGUUAUCGUGCCGUGCACAAGAGGAGGAAGAAGAGAAUAGCAUUUGUUAUAUAUGUGUGAACUGUGAAGAUAUGGCCAAAAGCAUAUGAUCGAGUUGAAUGGGUAUAUCUCAGGGAGAUCAUGUUAAAGCUCAAGUUUGAGGAAGCUUGGGUGCAAACAAUCAUGAAAUGCGGCGAGCACUGGUGCCCUCCUGUGAGCCCAAGCCUAUUGGUAUCAUCAUGCUACUAAUGCACCUGCCAAUGGACUACCUGGGAUGGAAUCAGACAUGCGGCACUUUCUGAGAAUGCAGCUUGAGAAGAUGGUGCAAGGAGGAGCUGUGACGACAAAUCGAUCGCUGUAUUGUCAGACUGGAGACCACGUUACAAGAACUUGCAGGUUCAAAAUAAUCAUUUCAUUCCUCAUCAAUUCAGUGAGGUAGAAGAGCGUCCUUGGCAGAUUGAACUGCAAAGGAAUCAAGUGGAAACACUUGCCAAGUGGAAUGUACUCUACCAAGGGCGCCUAUAGAUGAUACAUGUGUCUCCAAGAAGUUGAAGAAUACAUAGAGCAUCACGUCAAUGACAUACUCUGAAACCUCAAACGGGAGGCUGGUGCUUUAAUGGCAGGGAUGGUGUUAAACGGAAGGAUGGUGCUUCAAGAAGUCAGUUAAGCGUGGAGAGUUUUUUUUUUCAAGACCGAGCGACAUCUCUACAAUGGUGAUCUCAACGAAUGACAGAAACUUGGUGACAAGAGUACAAGAGCUGAUUGAUCAGUGACCAAUGUAUGGGAUGUGCAGGAAAUCACCAAAAUUCCGCUCCAUGAUCAGUUUGAUGAUCAGCCUGCCUGACACUAUGACAAAAGAGUCUUAUUCUUUGUUAAAUCAGCCUACAAAGUGGCUAGAGAUAGCAGCGAAGCACAUGAAUCAAUUCGAGGAUUCGCAACAACGUCAAAUCCUGCUGCUGAUAAUCAGAUUUUUUUUAAUAGAAGAAACUAUGGAGACUAUCUUUACCAAACAAAGUACUGCACUUCCUCUGGAGGUCAACCACUAGUAGUUCACCAAUGUGACAAAAAGUAAAAACGAGACGCGUGGAUGUAGAGACAAGGUGGCCUCUUUGUUUCAGGUUGGACAAAGAUGAAGGACACCUCCAGGAGAUGUCGAGUGGCCUACAUGCUGAAUUCCUGGGACUACUUCAAGCUGUGCAAAUCACUUCAGCCAUGUGAUGCAGCAAGGUGCUUGGAGCUGGAAAUGGAUGCAUCAACUCUGAGGCUGGCAGUCAGAGUGUUAUGUGUUCAAUAUGAAAUUUGUAAUUUUUUUCUAACGCUGUGGCGCAUGAAAUACAGUAGCCUAUGAAUUUAGGAGGAGAAUGUGUUGUUACAAUAGAAAGAGGCCCUGGUCUGGUCAUGCCAGGCCUGAUACAAAAUGGAACUAGUCGUGAUCAAUGGGCAAUCUGCCCAGCUCAAUCUAUACUAACUUGUGUAUUUGUUGUAGAUGCAUCAAAUCUGAAACUGGUGUUAAUUGACUUGUGUA